AAAACUACGACUGCCCACACCCACCAAUCCUCUUUAUCGCCCAUCCCCUACACCUCUUCACUCUCCAGCCCACCACCAUAAAAACCACCUUACUCCCAAUUUAUUUUAUUUUUUAAUUUUUAAAUUUUCCAUAUUUUCCUAAAGUUUCUCGGCCACCAAAUAUCCAAGUUUUUUUUUUUUUUAAGUUGGACUUGAAUUCAAUAGCUUCCCUUUUCCAGAUAACGAAACAAGCAAAAAACAUGAAGCAACCAUUUCGACGUACAAACAAAUAUAUAAAGCUAAAGAUGAGAAACCUUUUCAAUUCACUUGACGGGAAAAGUAUCUUUGUACAAGAUAUCAUCGGAAGAAGAGGUGUCGAAGUUGUCAAUAAGAGCUGUUUCAGUGAGUUGGCUCUGACAACACGAAUUGCCCGACGAGGACUGAAGCUACAUAGGGAAGAGCCCCCAGAGAGGGAAGGCUUUCGAUUUCGAGAACAAUCUAAGGAGCGAGACGGUUUCAGCUUUGACCUAUAAGUAAAAAUCCCUCAUUAUUUCCUUCUUAAGACAAAGACUUCAUUCAUUGACUCAACUUUAUCGUCUUUCUUUGACCAUUUGGCCAUGGCAUCGCUAAAAGAGUAACAUGAGGAAGCAUAAGAGUUCUGGCCAGGGUAGGGAUCUGGAGAAGAGAAUCUAUGGUAACCACCGUCAUGAUUCGUCGCCGAUGGAAGUGGAAAGACGUGGAUUUUGAUUUGUUUUUAUACUACUUUUUUGCAGAAUUCGUAAACGAGAAAGUUCAGGAGAUGACAAUUGUAUUAUUUUUCUCAAGUAGUAAACGUUUUUUUUUUUUUUUAGUUGGCAAAAA